rnacentral:rRNA from 1 species
AACGAACGCUGGCGGCAUGCCUAACACAUGCAAGUCGAACGAGACCUUCGGGUCUAGUGGCGCACGGGUGCGUAACGCGUGGGAACCUGCCCUUAGGUUCGGAAUAACUCCCCGAAAGGGGUGCUAAUACCGGAUAAUGUCUUCGGACCAAAGAUUUAUCGCCUUUGGAUGGGCCCGCGUUGGAUUAGCUAGUUGGUAGGGUAAAAGCCUACCAAGGCGACGAUCCAUAGCUGGUCUGAGAGGAUGAUCAGCCACACUGGGACUGAGACACGGCCCAGACUCCUACGGGAGGCAGCAGUGGGGAAUAUUGGACAAUGGGCGAAAGCCUGAUCCAGCAAUGCCGCGUGAGUGAUGAAGGCCUUAGGGUUGUAAAGCUCUUUUACCCGGGAUGAUAAUGACAGUACCGGGAGAAUAAGCUCCGGCUAACCCCGU